rnacentral:lncRNA from 1 species
CAGGACACAGCCCCAGGGGCAAGCAGCCGGGAUGCUCCUCCCUUCCUCCAAGCAUCCCCCGGCCCGCUGCAUCUCAGCCGGGAUAAACACCCGCUUCCUGCCCUUUAUCAGCUUCAGAGAGGGGCUGGCUGAGGGGGGGUGGGGGGAGGCUAGAAACAAAAAUCUCUGGAAAGAAAAACUCAUUUCCUGCGACAGAAGAAAAAGAUAAAGUCUGGGCUCAUUAAAGUGAACUUUACUGGGGAGAGACGGGAAAGAGCCAAACACAAUGUCCUUGAAAUUUCCUUCGCGCGGCUCUGUCCACGAAAACAGGAUAAGGCCACUUCCGCUGUCUCUGCCCUGCGCGUGUGGGGGGAGCGCAGGGUGGGGGGCGCGGGGCCGUCACAGCUUGUCGAGGUAGGAGCAGACCUGCUGGAAAACCUCAUCCACGGUGCCCUCGGCAUUCAGCUGGCGGACGAUGCCCCGGCCCUUGUAGAAGGCGAUGACGGGUUCGGUAGCCUUGUAGUACGUCUCCAAGCGCUUCUUGAUGGUCUCCUCGUUGUCGUCCACCCGCCCGCUGGUCUCUCCCCGCUUCAGCAGCCGCUUCACCAUCGUCUCCUUCCCCGCAUCCACGUAGAGCAGCAGCGUGGGGGGGGCAAUCUUCUUUUCAAACUCCUCUCCCUGCUUCACCUCGCGAGGGUAGCCGUCAAUGAGGAAACCCUUGGAGGUGUCUGCCUUAGCCAACAUGGCGUCCCGCAGCAUGUCCAGCACCGUGUCCAGGGGAACCAGCUCGCCCUUCUCCAUGAUGGCUUGCAGCUUCUUGCCCCGCUCUGAGCCCGAGCUGACCUCUGCCCGGAGCAGGUCCCCAGUGGAGAGGUGAGUGUACCCAUACUUGUGCACAAUCUUCUCGCAUUGCGUCCCCUUCCCUGAGCCGGGGCCACCCACCACGAAGAUGAUCUUGUGGUGCUUCAGUUUUCUGUCGACAUGCUGCUGCUGUCUGGGUGGAGGAGCACUUCAGGCUGC